rnacentral:rRNA from 1 species
UACGUAGGUGGCAAGCGUUAUCCGGAAUUAUUGGGCGUAAAGAGCGCGCAGGUGGUUGAUUAAGUCUGAUGUGAAAGCCCGCGGCUCAACCGCGGAUGGGCAUUGGAAACUGGAGGGCUUGAGUGCAGGAGAGGAGAGUGGAAUUCCACGUGUAGCGGUGAAAUGCGUAGAGAUGUGGAGGAACACCAGUGGCGAAAGCGGCUCUCUGGCCUGCAACUGACGCUGAGGCGCGAAAGCGUGGGGAGCAAACA